rnacentral:tRNA from 1 species
AAAGAGUUAGUUAAAUUAUAACAUUAGAAUGUCAAACUAAAAUUAUUAAAUUUUUAAUAUUCUUUA